UACGUAGGCAGCAAGCGUUGUUCGGAGUUACUGGGCGUAAAGGGUGUGUAGGCGGUUCCUUAAGUUUGCUGUGAAAUCUCCCGGCUUAACCGGGAGGGUGCGGUGAAUACUGAGGGACUAGAGUACGGGAGAGGAAAGUGGAAUUCCUGGUGUAGCGGUGAAAUGCGUAGAUAUCAGGAGGAACACCGGUGGUGUAGACGGCUUUCUGGACCGUAACUGACGCUGAGACACGAAAGCGUGGGUAGCAAAACAGG
rnacentral:rRNA from 1 species